rnacentral:lncRNA from 1 species
UCUACCUCUUUUUAGCUGUGAGACUUUGCACCCAUUACUAUCCUACUCAGAACCUCAACUUACUGUUUGUGAGACAGAGGGGAUAGCAGGGGCCUCACGGGGUCUUAGGAGCUUUAAAUGAUGUACCACGUUAAGUUCUAGAAUGUUCCAGAGUUGGAGUUUACACAAAGUGGCAGCUAUUUCUAUUUUAGUAAGAACUAGGGCAAGGAGAGAAUACUGCUUCUGAAGAGGUGCUCAGAGGAAGGUGAGCAUUGAGGGAGACUGAGAAGGAAAAGUCAGAGAGAUAGGGGGAGAAAUAGGCAAGAGUGUGGGGUAAGGAAGUCAAAAUCCAAGAAGGCUUCAAGAAAACAAUUGGUCAGCAAUGUGAUGUGCCGUAGAGAAGUCAAGAAGAUGAGCACGGAAUCCAGCACAGGAGAUGUGGCCGUCAGGAAGUCUAGGGGCAAAGAGACCUCGCCUUGAAGUAAAUGAGAGAAAAUGAAACCUCCUGAGCUGUCCGGUAAUAGAAAGAAGCUGCAGAACCCUGUUGUCUUCAUCUUUUGUUUAACUCAUGCAACAUUUGAAAGCACGUUUGCCUACAAGAAAUAAAACUUAAGUUGUGAAAUGGCUUAUUAAUGAACUCAGAUGACAAGAAACCAAAACAGCGGGCCUGGCUGAAGGAUUCAUCCCUAGCCCUGAAAGCCAGCGGGGUCUUUCUGUAACAUCAAAGGCACAAACAAUUGAACCGACAUGGGGACUUAUUCUGUCCAGCAGCCCUGGUGGCCUCAGACCAUCCGAAGCAAGGGUAACCUACCAGAAAGCUGCUAGAUGUUCCCCACUACAGUGAAGGAUUAAACAAAGAAUGAAGAAGAAGUAGGACUCAAGAAGUAAAUGAUCCAACUCAAGAAAGAGGUAAAGGGAAUUCUCAGGAUAAAGGCUCAACCAGGCCUGGAAAACAAACUGUCCACAUUGGAACAAGAGAAAGGAGGGAAUCAAGGAAAAAAAAGGGAUCUGGGGUGGAGGUGGGGGUGUAAAAGU